UCAAGCGCGAUAAGGGCGUUUGGUGGAUGCCUUGGCGGCAAGAGGCGAUGAAGGACGUGGCACUCUGCGAUAAGUCCCGGGGAGGCGAGAGCACCCUUUGAUCCGGGAAUUUCCGAAUGGGGCAACCCACUUGACAUUCUGCCGUCUUCGACCCUUCGGGGUGGUGGACGGUAUUGGGUGAUCAAGGGCUUAUAGACUGAAUACAUAGGUUUAUAAGGGCGAACGCGGGGAACUGAAACAUCUCAGUACCCGUAGGAAAGGACAUCAACCGAGACUCCGUCAGUAGCGGCGAGCGAACGCGGACCAGGCCGAUCGGCGACAGAAGACGAACCAGUUGGGAAACUGGGCCAUAGCGGGUGAUAGCCCCGUAGUCGUAUCAUAGCCGGCGUUAGAGUAGGGCGGGACACGUGAAAUCCUGUCUGAACAUGGGGGGACCACCCUCCAAGCCUAAGUACUCCUUGCCGACCGAUAGCGAACCAGUACCGUGAGGGAAAGGUGAAAAGCACCCCGACGAGGGGAGUGAAAUAGACCCUGAAACCGAACGCCUACAAACAGUGGGAGCGCAAGUGACCACGUACCUUUUGUAUAAUGGGUCAGCGACUUAGUCUCACGAGCAAGCUUAAGCCGAUAGGCGUAGGCGCAGCGAAAGCGAGUCUGAACAGGGCGUUCAGUUCGUGGGAUUAGACCCGAAACCGAGUGAUCUAGCCAUGGCCAGGAUGAAGGCGCGGUAACACGCGCUGGAGGUCCGAACCCACACCUGUUGAAAAAGGUCGGGAUGAGCUGUGGCUAGGGGUGAAAGGCCAAUCAAACUCGGAGAUAGCUGGUUCUCCGCGAAAUCUAUUUAGGUAGAGCGUCGCACGAAUGUCCUCGGGGGUAGAGCACUGGAUGGGUGAUGGGGGCCCACAGCCUUACUGAGCCUAACCAAACUCCGAAUACCGAGGAACACUAUGCGGCAGACACACGGCGGGUGCUAAGGUCCGUCGUGGAAAGGGAAACAGCCCUGACCAACAGCUAAGGCCCCUAAUUCGUGGCUAAGUGGGAAAGCAUGUGGGACGGCCAAGACAACCAGGAUGUUGGCUUAGAAGCAGCCAUCAUUUAAAGAAAGCGUAACAGCUCACUGGUCUAGAUAAGCUGUCCUGCGGCGAAGAUGUAACGGGGCUCAAGCCACGAGCCGAAGCUUUGGAGUGCGUAAGCACUGGUAGCGGAGCGUUCUGUUCUAAACACCUUCCGACUUUGCCUGGGCGCAAGCCCAGGGAUGGUCGGACCGGUGUUGGCGACGAAGCGGGCCUGUGAGGGACCCGUGGAGCGAACAGAAGUGAGAAUGCUGACAUGAGUAGCGACAAAGAGGGUGAGAGACCCUCUCGCCGGAAGUCCAAGGGUUCCUGCUUGAAGCUAAUCUGAGCAGGGUGAGCCGGCCCCUAAGCCGAGGCCGAAAGGCGUAGGCGAUGGGAAUCAGGUGAAUAUUCCUGAGCCAGGAGAGCGUGACGGAUCGCAGGUGUAGUUCCUCCUUAUCGGAUUGGAGGGGCUGCUGAGCGGUUCCUGGAAACAACACUCCAUCAGACCGUACCCUAAACCAACACAGGUGGACAGGCAGAGUAUGCCAAGGCGCUUGAGAGAACUACGUUGAAGGAACUCGGCAAAAUGCCUCCGUAACUUCGGGAGAAGGAGGCCUCGUCUUUGGGCAACCAGAGGCGAGGGGCACAACCCAGGGGGUGGCGACUGUUUACUAAAAACACAGGGCUCUGCGAAGUCGCAAGACGACGUAUAGGGUCUGACGCCUGCCCGGUGCCGGAAGGUUAAAUGGAGGGGUGCAAGCUCCGAAAUGAAGCCCCGGUAAACGGCGGCCGUAACUAUAACGGUCCUAAGGUAGCGAAAUUCCUUGUCGGGUAAGUUCCGACCUGCACGAAUGGCGUAACGACUUCCCCGCUGUCUCCAACGUAGACUCAGCGAAAUUGAAUUCCCCGUGAAGAUGCGGGGUUCCCGCGGUCAGACGGAAAGACCCCGUGCACCUUUACUACAGCUUCAGAUUGGCAUCAGGCGCGUGAUGUGCAGGAUAGGUGGUAGGCUUUGAAACAGGGACGCCAGUUCUUGUGGAGCCUUCCUUGAGAUACCACCCUUCAUUCGCUUGAUGUCUAACCGCGGUCCAUGAACCUGGAUCCGGGACCUUCUGUGGCGGGUAGUUUGACUGGGGCGGUCGCCUCCCAAAUCGUAACGGAGGCGCGCGAAGGUUGGCUCAGAGCGGUCGGAAAUCGCUCGACGAGUGCAAUGGCAUAAGCCAGCCUGACUGCGAGACUGACAAGUCGAGCAGAGUCGAAAGACGGCCAUAGUGAUCCGGUGGUCCCUCGUGGAAGGGCCAUCGCUCAACGGAUAAAAGGUACGCCGGGGAUAACAGGCUGAUGAUGCCCAAGAGUCCAUAUCGACGGCAUCGUUUGGCACCUCGAUGUCGGCUCAUCACAUCCUGGGGCUGGAGCAGGUCCCAAGGGUUCGGCUGUUCGCCGAUUAAAGUGGUACGUGAGCUGGGUUUAGAACGUCGUGAGACAGUUCGGUCCCUAUCUGCCGUGGGUGUUCGAGACUUGAGAGGAGCUGCCCCUAGUACGAGAGGACCGGGGUGGACGUUCCACUGGUGGACCAGUUAUCCUGCCAAGGGUAGUGCUGGGUAGCUAUGAACGGACAGGAUAACCGCUGAAAGCAUCUAAGCGGGAAGCCCCCCUCAAAACCAGGUCUCGCCUGAGAGCCGUGGAAGACCACCACGUCGAUAGGCCAGGGAUGAAAGCGCAGCGAUGCGUGCAGUCGACUGGUACUAAUUGCUCGAUAGGCUUGACCCG
rnacentral:rRNA from 1 species